UUGCUUUGGCAGUGUCUCUAUUAAAAUUGGAAUGAUACAGAGAUUAGCCUGGUCCCUGCACAAGAAUGACAUGUACAUCUGAGAAAUUUUCCAUGUUUCC
rnacentral:snRNA from 1 species